UUUGUGCUCUCUCAAAUGACUUUCCUCUGUCUCUAAACUUUCAAAUUUUGGCCAAACUCAGGAGUCAAACAUGCCAGGAUUCUGUGGACAAGGCAUCCUUUUUAUCAAGGACUCGGCGUCUUGCUUUCCUAGUUGGAGCAAUGUCUGCAAGUCCAAGUCAUCCAGGGAGUGAAAAAAUAGUUCAAGAGAGGCAUCUGGUUCUGUCAGGAACUCUGAUCUGAGUGCCACACUGGGAGGAAAAGUGUGGUCAGAGCUGCUUGCCUUCCGUGCUGCAGAGAUCGCUGGAGAGCCUGAGCAUCCAGGGCUCUCUUCAGGCUUCCGCCAGCAAUGCCUGCUCCACCUGGCCCAGGAAGCCUCAUGCCCCAACACCUGGGAUGUGUUUAAUGACCUCACAGCUCAUCAAGCGUCCAUGGUAGGCACUUUCCCCAGCACGAACUCAUGUAAGCACAGUAUCCCACACAGAAGAUGCUAGCGCCAUCCUCUUUUGUAGAUGAAGAAACACAGAAAGGUGGUGUGAUACCUGACCUCAGUAAGAGGUAGGACUGUCUACACUCCAAAACCACCUAACUGCUCUCAAACCCAGUUCAGUCUCCUCUUCUAGAGAUGGCAACCCCAAGUUAGUUCCAUUGACCCUCCAAAGGUCAGGUGUGAUGUUUGUGCUACAGCAGUGGCCUGACCCAGGUGAAAUGAUUUGAGUGACAAGGCAUAGGUCAGCUCAGAUAGGCACCUCUGAGGUAUCAGGCAACAUAGUGAGCGAUGACUGGAACGGAUUCUCAGACACAUGCAAGUACUCUUUGCAAUUGCCCCCUCCCCCCGCCAAAAAAAUGGGCCUAUGGAGGGAAAUUCUUCUGAGGACUGGGACUCUUACAGAUAAGGUGAUGGAAGCAUGUAGUCUUCAAUGAGUAGCUCAAUGCAGACUACUCUCUGUAUUCAUUUAGUAUCCAGGACAUCCUGAUGCUGGAAAAUUCCGGCUUUGGUAUUAAGUAGGGGCUGAAAAUAUAAAUGGCAAAGAAUAUGUGUCUCUGGAUUAAAUCACUGGUCGGCUUUUACUAUCACAACACUCUAGUUAAGAAAUGACACAAACAUAGUAUGGAGGAGAAUGUGCUACAAGAACCACCCUUCUCCUAAGGAUGACACCAGGCACCCAUUCACACCACUGCUCCUUGGCUCUGUCACAUUCUCAGCCCCUUUGACUUUGUCCUUGGCUCUUGUUCUUAUCUCUUGUGGGGUCCCCUGCCCCUGGCCCUCCCUCUGCACUCCAGAUGGCGCCAUCAGUUCCAGUACCGAGGCUCUAUGUGGAAGUCUCCAUCCUACUACCCACCGUUGCUCUGACCCAGUGCCCUCACCUUUGCAAAAGCUGGAGGCAAGGAGAGUAAGAUAGAUCAGCAUUUCGGAAUCUGCUUUGUGCAUUGGCCUUGCUGCCCACUGUAGCUCCUGACACCCGCCACUGAAUCCUUGAAUUCUGGAGAAGUCGGUGUCAUCUCCAGCGUAAAGACAGAACUAUGCCAAAGAGGCAGAUCUGCCUUCAUGUGCCAUUUCCACUUGCCAAAACAGUAGUUCACGAGUCUCCGUCAAAGAGUUGACAUGCCAUCUCUGAGUAACAGCAGAACCAAGUGAGAUUCACAAAGCCACUAGAAUAAGAGCAGAGGACUCUUAGCUGCUGCUAAAAAAAUGCUUUGUCCUCCGUGACUCUGAGAAGCGGCUGACAUUCAGGGGCAGGCCUAGGGAGCCUGCCAUGGGAAUGCACUUACCAUAUGGCAUGCCUGGAGAGGGGAAACCUGUAGGGCAAUGCGGAUCCUGUGGACCUGGCAUCAUGCAGGGCACAUCUAUCCCAGGAAACUUCAAUCAAGGGCAUGAACCCCCAAAUCCAGUUUAAGAAGAUACACUUUUGAAAGACGUUCUCUAGGAGAAAGAGAAGGCUCAACUCUGAAGAAAAAAAGGGUUACCAUGCAUUAACUUAUAUACAUAAAGAUUAUCACUGGGCAUCCUUGAAGUCACAAACCACGAGGACCUCCGAGGACCCAGCAGCUGCUCCCUUCCACCAAGGUCAAGAGAACUUGAAGAGGUGAGGAGGUCAGUACUGGAGACCAUGACUGAUUUCCUGAGAUGGGAAUGGCAAGCUCACAGACAGAGGGUGAGACAUGAGCCAAAAAGAAUGGUUCUGGUCCUGUUGGGGCGGGGAAUAGAUGAGUGGGGCACACCCAACAAGAGGCACGUGAGCUGAGGAUAGGCCGUUCAUUACCACCCACAUCUGUUCUGCAUCAGGACCAACCUCCUGGGCUCAGCAUCUGCUUCCCCUGUGGGUAAUCUUGCCAAUAACCCAAGAGGAUCCCAGCUGGUCUGCUCAGAACACAGGGACCAAAACCCCCAUGUUCCAUGCUGACCCAAAGGGAAAGUCCAUUCUUGGCAGAAGACUGAAGAAGCCCUUACUAGAAACAGAGCAUUAUCAUGCCAGACACGUCAGGACAAGUUUAACAACAUGAUCUGAAGCCCCAGUCGGCUCCUGCUAGACAGUGGCCUGUCAGGAUACUGGGUUUUCUUUCUACUUAGGAACCCUGGGCAGCAGGUAGAACACAACUGCAGCUUCUUCUGGUGCUGGGAACCAACAUGAGUCAAAGUUGGCAAUGUUUUGCAAUGUCAUUUUCCACAUCUGUGAAAUGGGCAUGUUGCUGUCUCAGUACUGAAGUAGUUUCACACUGCAGACUCCCCAGUAGCACUUCGUAGCUGUCUGAAACCACUGAUAAUGAAAAGAAGCAAUUGCCAAGCUCAGGGCUGAAGGCUCAAGAAAGUAAAUGCUGCGGUUACUGAUGGCUGAUUGGUGGGAAAUGUUCUUCCGUGCACAUGUUUGGCUAAUGAAUAAAACACUUAUUGACUGAUUGGCCAGACAGGAAGUGACAUAGCUUGGCAGAAUUAGGAUAUAAGCAGGGACA